GUGAGGAAUAUUGGACAAUGGGCGCAAGCCUGAUCCAGCCAUGCCGCGUGCAGGAAGACGCAUCUAUGGUGUGUAAACUGCUUUUGUACGGGAAGAAACACUCCCUCGUGAGGGAGCUUGACGGUACCGUAAGAAUAAGGAUCGGCUAACGCCGUGCCAGCAGCCGCGGUAAUACGGAGGAUCCAAGCGUUAUCCGGAAUCAUUGGGUUUAAAGGGUCCGUAGGCGGUUUAAUAAGUCAGUGGUGAAAGCCCAUCGCUCAACGAUGGAACGGCCAUUGAUACUGUUAGACUUGAAUUACAAGGAAGUAACUAGAAUAUGUAGUGUAGCGGUGAAAUGCUUAGAUAUUACAUGGAAUACCAAUUGCGAAGGCAGGUUACUACUUGUGGAUUGACGCUGAUGGACGAAAGCGUGGGGAGCGAACAGGAUUAGAUACCCCAGUAGUCC
rnacentral:rRNA from 1 species